rnacentral:rRNA from 1 species
AAAAACUGAGGUGGUAUACGAUGGUUCCGCGUCUGAUUAGCUAGUUGGUGGGGUAAAAGCCUACCAAGGCAACGAUCAGUAGCCGGCCUGAGAGGGUGAACGGCCACAUUGGGACUGAGACACGGCCCAAACUCCUACGGGAGGCAGCAGUGGGGAAUAUUGCACAAUGGGGGAAACCCUGAUGCAGCGACGCCGCGUGAGUGAAGAAGUAUUUCGGUAUGUAAAGCUCUAUCAGCAGGGAAGAAAUACUGACCAUAGGGUCAGCAGACGGUACUUGACUAAGAAGCCCCGGCUAACUACGUGCCAGCAGCCGCGGUAAUACGUAGGGGGCAAGCGUUAUCCGGAUUUACUGGGUGUAAAGGGAGCGUAGACGGCAGCGCAAGUCUGAAGUGAAAUGCCAGGGCUUAACCCUGGAACUGCUUUGGAAACUGUGCAGCUAGAGUGCAGGAGAGGUAAGUGGAAUUUCUAGUGUAGCGGUGAAAUGCGUAGAUAUUAGGAGGAACACCAGUGGCGAAGGCGGCUUACUGGACUGUAACUGACGUUGAGGCUCGAAAGCGUGGGGAGCAAACAGGAUUAGAUACCCUGGUAGUCCACGCUGUAAACGAUGAUUACUAGGUGUUGGGGGACCAAGG